UACGUAGGGCGCGAGCGUUGUCCGGAAUUAUUGGGCGUAAAGAGCUCGUAGGCGGCUGGUUGCGUCUGCUGUGAAAUCCCGGGGCUUAACCCCGGGCGUGCAGUGGAUACGGGCCGGCUGGAGGCAGGCAGGGGAGAAUGGAAUUCCCGGUGCAGCGGUGAAAUGCGCAGAUAUCGGGAGGAACACCGGUGGCGAAGGCGGUUCUCUGGGCCUUACCUGACGCUGAGGAGCGAAAGCGUGGGGAGCGAACAGG
rnacentral:rRNA from 1 species